AUACUACUUAGUGUAGUUUUAAAAAAAUUGAAACCCAAGGAAUCGAUUUCAUAAUGAGUGCCCCAGACCGCUACUCCCAAACUACAAAACAUUAUUUAAAGACAUUAAAACUUACAUCAUGCUCAUUAGUUGAAAAACAGUAUUGUAAAAAUGUUGGCUCUCCAAAGAUACAUCUGUAGUUUCAGCGAAAUAUCGAACAAAAUCCCAGUACUCUUUGAAAUGUGGAAAUUGACGACAUAAUGUUAACCUUUCCCUUAAACUGUAAAAGGCCAAGAAUAAUGAAAGCAAUCCUGAGGAAUAAUGAAGGUGGAGGAAGCCAGCAUGGGAUAUUAAUUCCUAUGAAGCCAAAGUAACUGAGUCAAAGUGGGACUGACAACUCAUCUCCUAUCUUUUCCCCUGCAGAUCUCUUCUUCACCUCACUUGGGAUUCCACACUAGGAACUGGGCUACUCUCCUGUCUAGCCACUAGUCUAACCUUACUAAGUUUCUAACACUUCAUAUCAGACCUCUCCCCUGUUCAUCCCCCACCACAGUGAUGUCUUCCUCAUCCUAUUCAGUCCACUUAUACGUGGAUUUCUUCAAUAAAAGUAACACCAAGUGUGCCUGCUUCUCCUAAGCCCUCCUCCACCUCCUUCACUUCUUCUACCUCUGCCACUCCUGAGACAGCAAGACAGCCUACUCAAUGUGAAGAAACAGGAAUAAAGAUCUUUAUGAUGAUCCA
rnacentral:lncRNA from 1 species